UCUGUACCCGAAUAGAAAUAAAGGAUUUUAAUGAAACAGUUUUCUUCCGCUCUGAAAGUGAACGAAUGACAAAACAGUCUAGAGAAUUCCUCGCCCUGCUGCAGAAGAUCAAUCCUGGGUUGUACUCACCAAAGCAAACCUCUUUUUUGUGUAUUCAGUGUCUUAACUAUGUAAAAGACAACUAUAACAGGGUGUACAGUGCUGUUUCUGAAAUUGACGAAUCUUCUUGUGAUGAAGAUUGAAGAAGCUAUUGCCAUCCAAGUGGAAAAAGUCCCGCCUUUGUCACCCUCGGCCUCCUCGAAUAGAACUAAGAAAAUGUGGAGACUUUCUUCAUUUAGUUCCCAAUCAAGUGGACCAGAUGUUGAUUUGUUUGAAAUGGACUGAGACUUGUGUUUCAUAUGCCAGGUUGAACAGACGUUAGAAACGAAAAAGGAUAGUCUGAUUCAAGGAAAAGAUAAAAGUUUCUUCGUCGAUUUCGCAACAUACUAUCUGUGGACAUCUACAGAAAUCGUCAGGAUCUGUGCAACAUCGAUGUUAAUCCUGAUUCGCACAUGAACAAGUGCCCUGUUCUUAACCCUGAGAGUCUCGGAAAAUAUCUCUAUAGCAAGCUAGGUAGAUAUCACAAAACGUGUCGUUUGAGGUACAGCAACUCGAGGGUGAAACAAUUGAAGGGUAAAUUAUCUGAAGCUGUAAG